UCCCUGGUGGCUCAGAGGAUAAAGCGUCUACUUGCAAUGCAGGAGACCCAGGUUUGAUCCCUGGGUUGGGAA
rnacentral:tRNA from 1 species